AUUGAACGCUGGCGGCAGGCCUAACACAUGCAAGUCGAACGGUAACAGGAAGCAGCUUGCUGCUUUGCUGACGAGUGGCGGACGGGUGAGUAAUGUCUGGGAAACUGCCUGAUGGAGGGGGAUAACUACUGGAAACGGUAGCUAAUACCGCAUAACGUCGCAAGACCAAAGAGGGGGACCUUCGGGCCUCUUGCCAUCAGAUGUGCCCAGAUGGGAUUAGCUUGUUGGUGGGGUAACGGCUCACCAAGGCGACGAUCCCUAGCUGGUCUGAGAGGAUGACCAGCCACACUGGAACUGAGACACGGUCCAGACUCCUACGGGAGGCAGCAGUGGGGAAUAUUGCACAAUGGGCGCAAGCCUGAUGCAGCCAUGCCGCGUGUAUGAAGAAGGCCUUCGGGUUGUAAAGUACUUUCAGCGGGGAGGAAGGUGUUGUGGUUAAUAACCACAGCAAUUGACGUUACCCGCAGAAGAAGCACCGGCUAACUCCGUGCCAGCCGCUGC
rnacentral:rRNA from 1 species